GACGAACGCUGGCGGCGUGCUUAACACAUGCAAGUCGAACGAUGAUCCCUUCUUCGGUUGGGUGAUUAGUGGCGAACGGGUGAGUAACACGUGAGUAACCUGCCCUUCACUUCGGGAUAACUGUGGGAAACUUCAGCUAAUACCGGAUACUCUGCUUCUCCUGCAUGGGAGUUGUUGGAAAGAUUUAUUGGUGAGGGAUGGACUCGCGGCCUAUCAGCUUGUUGGUGGGGUAAUGGCCUACCAAGGCGGUGACGGGUAGCCGGCCUGAGAGGGCGACCGGCCACACUGGGACUGAGAUACGGCCCAGACUCCUACGGGAGGCAGCAGUGGGGAAUAUUGCACAAUGGGCGAAAGCCUGAUGCAGCAACGCCGCGUGCGGGAUGACGGCCUUCGGGUUGUAAACCGCUUUCAGCAGGGGCGAAUUUGACGGUACCUGCAGAAGAAGCACCGGCUAACUACGUG
rnacentral:rRNA from 1 species